rnacentral:rRNA from 1 species
GACGAACGCUGGCGGCGGGCUUAACACAUGCAAGUCGAACGGAAAGGCCCUGCUUUUGUGGGGUUCUCGAGUGGCGAACGGGUGAGUAACACGUGAGUAACCUGCCCUUGACUUUGGGAUAACUUCAGGAAACUGGGGCUAAUACCGGAUAGGAGCUCCUGCUGCAUGGUGGGGGUUGGAAAGUUUCGGCGGGUGGGGAUGGACUCGCGGCUUAUCAGCUUGUUGGUGGGGUAGUGGCUUACCAAGGCUUUGACGGGUAGCCGGCCUGGGAGCGUGAACGGCCACAUUGGGACUGAGAUACGGACCAGACUCCUACGGGAGGCAGCAGUGGGGAAUAUUGCACAAUGGGAGGAAGCCUGAUGCAGCAACGCCGCGUGCGGGAUGACGGCCUUCGGGUUGUAAACCGCUUCCGCCUGUGACGAAGCGGGAGUGACGGUAAUGGGUAAAGAAGCACCGGCUAACUACGUG